rnacentral:rRNA from 1 species
UUACCUACGGGACGCAGCAGUGGGGGAUAUUGCACAAUGGGGGGAACCCUGAUGCAGCGACGCCGCGUGGGUGAAGGAGCGUUUCGGCGCGUAAAGCCCUAUCGGCAGGGAAGAAGGAGGACGGUACCUGACUAAGAAGCCCCGGCUAACUACGUGCCAGCAGCCGCGGUAAUACGUAGGGGGCAAGCGUUAUCCGGAUUUACUGGGUGUAAAGGGAGCGCAGACGGCAGUGCAAGUCUGGAGUGAAAGCCCGGGGCCCAACCCCGGA